rnacentral:rRNA from 1 species
UACGUAGGGGGCAAGCGUUGUCCGGAUUUAUUGGGCGUAAAGAGCGUGUAGGCGGCCAUGCAGGUCCGUUGUGAAAACUCGAGGCUCAACCUCGAGACGUCGAUGGAAACCGCAUGGCUAGAGUCCGGAAGAGGAGAGUGGAAUUCCUGGUGUAGCGGUGAAAUGCGCAGAUAUCAGGAAGAACACCCGUGGCGAAGGCGGUUCUCUGGGACGGUACUGACGCUGAGGCGCGAAAGCUAGGGGAGCGAACAGG